GACGAACGCUGGCGGCGUGCUUAACACAUGCAAGUCGAACGGAAAGACCCUGCUUUUGUGGGGUGCUCGAGUGGCGAACGGGUGCGUAACACGUGAGUAACCUGCCCUUGACUUUGGGAUAACUUCAGGAAACUGGGGCUAAUACCGGAUAGGAGCUCCUGCUGCAUGGUGGGGGUUGGAAAGUUUCGGCGGUUGGGGAUGGACUCGCGGCUUAUCAGCUUGUUGGUGGGGUAGUGGCUUACCAAGGCUUUGACGGGUAGCCGGCCUGAGAGGGUGACCGGCCACAUUGGGACUGAGAUACGGCCCAGACUCCUACGGGAGGCAGCAGUGGGGAAUAUUGCACAAUGGGCGGAAGCCUGAUGCAGCAACGCCGCGUGCGGGAUGACGGCCUUCGGGUUGUAAACCGCUUUCGCCUGUGACGAAGCGUGAGUGACGGUAAUGGGUAAAGAAGCACCGGCUAACUACGUG
rnacentral:rRNA from 1 species